rnacentral:rRNA from 1 species
AGAGUUUGAUCCUGGCUCAGAGUGAACGCUGGCGGCGUGGAUUAGGCAUGCAAGUCGAGCGAUGGCAUAUGAUGCGAGGCCGCAAGGCCAAGUUGAUUAUGUCAUAGCGGCAAACGGGUGAGUAACAGGUGAGCAAUCUUCCCUUAAGAUGGACAUAGCACCGUGAAAACGGUGGUAAUUUCCAAUAGUAUCCUUAUACCGCAUGGUGUUUGGAUUAAAGGUGGGGACCUUCGGGCCUACCACUUAAGGAUGAGCUCGCCUCCUAUCAGCUAGUUGGUGAGGUAACGGCCUACCAAGGCAUUUGACGGGUAGCUGGUCUGAGAGGAUGGUCAGCCACACUGGGACUGAGACACUGCCCAGACUCCUACGGGAGGCUGCAGUCGAGAAUCUUUCACAAUGGGGGAAACCCUGAUGAUGCGACGCCGCGUGCAGGACGAAGGCUUUCGGGUCGUAAACUGCUUUUGUCAGGAAAGAAUACUCCGUCGGAAAUACCGGCGGAACUGACGGUACCUGAUGAAUAAGCCACGGCCAACUCCGUGCCAGCAGCCGCGGUAAUACGGAGGUGGCAAGCGUUACUCGGAAUCAUUGGGUGUAAAGGGCAAGUAGGCGGUCUAAUAAGCGAGGGGUGAAAUCCUGCGGCUCAAUCGCAGAACUGCCUUUCAAACUAGUAGGCUUGAGGCCAGAAGGGGGAAACGGAAUUGGCAGUGUAAGGGUGAAAUCUGUAGAUAUUGCCAAGAACACCAACAGCGAAGGCAGUUUCCUGGUCUGGUUCUGACGCUAAAUUGCGAAAGCUAGGGUAGCAAACGGAAUUAGAUACUCCGGUAGUCCUAGCCGUAAACGAUGAGUACUAGGUGUUGGACCCUUGGGUUCAGCGUCGUAGCUAACGCAUUAAGUACUCCACCUGGGGACUACGGCCGCAAGGCUAAAACUCAAAGGAAUUGACGGGGACCCGCACAAGCGGUGGAACAUGUGGUUUAAUUCGAUGCUACGCGAAGAACCUCAGCAAGGCUUGACAUGCAGGCAGUAGUGAUCCGAAAGGUGACCGACCCGUUAAGUCCGGGAAGCUACACAGGUGCUGCAUGGCUGUCGUCAGCUCGUGUCGUGAGAUGUUGGGUUAAGUCCCGCAACGAGCGCAACCAUUGCCCUAUGUUGCCACCCCAGUAUCGUUUUCGCAAGAAAACCGAAGGGCGCACUCUUAGGAGACUGCCUGGGAUAACCAGGAGGAAGGUGGAGAUGACGUCAAGUCAGUACGGCCCUUAUGCCCUGGGCUACACACGUGUUACAAUGCCUAGUACAAAGGGUUGCCAACCCGCGAGGGGGAGCUAAUCUCAAAAAGCUGGGCUCAGUUCGGAUUGGAGUCUGCAAUUCGACUCCAUGAAGCUGGAAUCGCUAGUAAUGGAAGAUCAGCACGCUUCCGUGAAUACGUUCCCGGGUCUUGUACACACCGCCCGUCAAGCGAUGAAAGCCGGGGGUACCCGAAGUCCUAUGUAGAUAGGCCGAAGGUAAAAUCGGUGAUUGGCGCUAAGUCGUAACAAGGUAGCCGUA